rnacentral:rRNA from 1 species
UACGUAGGGGGCAAGCGUUGUCCGGAAUCAUUGGGCGUAAAGCGCGUGUAGGCGGCUAGGUAAGUCUGCUCUGAAAGCCCGGGGCUCAACCCCGGGAGGCGGGUGGAUACUGUCUAGCUCGAGUCCGGAAGAGGAGUGUGGAAUUCCUGGUGUAGCGGUGAAAUGCGCAGAUAUCAGGAGGAACACCAAGGGCGAAGGCAGCACUCUGGGACGUGACUGACGCUGAGACGCGAAAGCGUGGGGAGCAAACAGG